rnacentral:rRNA from 1 species
UACGGGGGGGGUAAGCGUUGUUCGGAAUUACUGGGCGUAAAGGGCUCGUAGGCGGCCAACUAAGUCAUACGUGAAAUCCCUCAGCUUAACUGGGGAACUGCGCUUGUUACUGGCAGGCUGGAGUGUGGCAGAGGGGGGUGGAAUUCCACGUGUAGCAGUGAAAUGCGUAGAGAUGUGGAGGAACACCGAUGGCGAAGGCAGCCCCCUGGGCUAACACUGACGCUCAUGCACGAAAGCGUGGGGAGCAAACAGG